UACGGAGGGUGCAAGCGUUAUCCGGAUUUACUGGGUUUAAAGGGUGUGUAGGCGGGCUAUUAAGUCAGUGGUGAAAUCUCCGGGCUCAACCCGGAAACUGCCAUUGAUACUAUUAGUCUUGAAUUUUGUUGAGGUAGGCGGAAUAAGUCAUGUAGCGGUGAAAUGCAUAGAUAUGACUUAGAACACCCAAUUGCGAAGGCAGCUUACUAAGCAAAUAUUGACGCUGAGGCACGAAAGCGUGGGGAUCAAACAGG
rnacentral:rRNA from 1 species